rnacentral:rRNA from 1 species
AACGAACGCUGGCGGCAUGCCUAACACAUGCAAGUCGAACGACACCUUCGUGUCUGGUUGCUCACACGUGCGUCACGCGUCGGACCCUGCCCUUAUACUCGGCAUAACUCCUCUACGUGGGUGCUAAUACCGGGUAAUUUCCUCUGACCCAAGAUUCAUCCCCUUUGUGUGGGCCCGCGUUGGACUAGCUAUUUGCUAUUGUAAGAGCCUACCAAGGCUACGAUCCAUAGCUGGUCAGAGAGCAUGAGCAGCCACACUGCGACUGGGACACGGCCCGGACUCAUACGGGAGGGGGCAGUGGGGAAUAUUGGAAAAUGGGCGAAAGGAAGAUACAGUAAUGCCGGGUGAGUGAUGAAGGCCUUAGGGUAGUAAAGCACGUUUACCCGGGAUGAUAAUGACAGUACCGAGAGAAUAAGCUCCGGCUAACUCCGUG